rnacentral:rRNA from 1 species
AUUGAACGCUGGCGGCGCGCUUAACACAUGCAAGUCGAGCGAGAACCAGUCCUUCGGGACUGGGGACAGCGGCGAACGGGUGAGUAACACGUGAGUAAUCCACCCUCGGCACCGGGAUAGCCCGCGGAAACGCGGAUUAAUACCGGAUGGCCCAUUUGUCCUUCGGGAAUAAAUGGAAAAGGUAGCUUCGGCCUCCGGCCGUGGACGAGCUCGCGGCGGAUUAGCUUGUUGGUGGGGUAACGGCCCACCAAGGCGACGAUCCGUAGCUGGUCUGAGAGGACGAUCAGCCCCACUGGGACUAAGACACGGCCCAGACUUCUACGGAAGGCAGCAGUGGGGAAUCUUGCGCAAUGGGCGAAAGCCUGACGCAGCGACGCCGCGUGAGGGAAGAAGGCCUUCGGGUUGUAAACCUCUUUCAGGAGGGACGAAGCUACUCGGGUGAAUAGCCCAGAGGGUGACGGUACCUCCAGAAGAAGCCCCGGCUAACUACGUGCCAGCAGCCGCCGUAA